UGCCAGCCGCCGCGGUAAUACGGAGGGUGCAAGCGUUAAUCGGAAUUACUGGGCGUAAAGCGCGCGUAGGCGGUUUGUUAAGUCAGAUGUGAAAGCCCCGGGCUCAACCUGGGAACUGCAUUCGAUACUGGCAGACUAGAGUAUGUUAGAGGAAGGUGGAAUUCCAGGUGUAGCGGUGAAAUGCGUAGAUAUCUGGAGGAACAUCAGUGGCGAAGGCGACCUUCUGGGACAAUACUGACGCUCAUGUGCGAAAGUGUGGGUAGCGAACAGGAUUAGAUA
rnacentral:rRNA from 1 species